AGCAGCCGCGGUAAUUCCAGCUCCAAUAGCGUAUAUUAAAGUUGUUGCAGUUAAAAAGCUCGUAGUUGAAUUUCGGGAUCAAUAUGUCGGUCGUGCCUUCGGUACGUACUGGUAUCAUUGGUCUCUCCUUUCUGACGAACCAUGAUGUCAUUAAUUUGGUGUUAUGGGGAGUUAGGACUGUUACUUUGAAAAAAUUAGAGUGUUUAAAGCAGGCUUUAGCUUGAAUACAUUAGCAUGGAAUAAUGAAAUAGGACGUUCGAACCUAUUUUGUUGGUUCUAGGAUCAACGUAAUGAUUAAUAGGGAUAGUUGGGGGCAUUAGUAUUCAAUUGUCAGAGGUGAAAUUCUUGGAUUUAUUGAAGACUAACUACUGCGAAAGCAUUUGCCAA
rnacentral:rRNA from 1 species